UCUGUUCGAGAAGUCACAGGCUACGUGUUAGUGGCUCUUAAUCAGUUUCGUUACCUGCCUCUGGAGAAUUUACGCAUUAUUCGUGGGACAAAACUUUAUGAGGAUCGAUAUGCCUUGGCAAUAUUUUUAAACUACAGAAAAGAUGGAAACUUUGGACUUCAAGAACUUGGAUUAAAGAACUUGACAGAAAUCCUAAAUGGUGGAGUCUAUGUAGACCAGAACAAAUUCCUUUGUUAUGCGGACACCAUUCAUUGGCAAGAUAUUGUUCGGAACCCAUGGCCUUCCAACUUGACUCUUGUGUCAACAAAUGGUAGUUCAGGAUGUGGACGUUGCCAUAAGUCCUGUACUGGCCGUUGCUGGGGACCCACAGAAAAUCAUUGCCAGACUUUGACAAGGACGGUGUGUGCAGAACAAUGUGACGGCAGAUGCUA
rnacentral:sRNA from 1 species